CUCCUCUCGGGGACGCACCUGAAGAGUUUCUAGUAUUCUAUCAGUCUCGACUAUGGGAGGGACAGUCAAGCAGAGGUAUAUCCAUUCCAGUCCUAGCUUGGGCAGUGGUUAGCGAGUGGAAGGCAAUCUCUUACGAGG